rnacentral:rRNA from 1 species
UACGAAGGGGGCUAGCGUUGCUCGGAAUGACUGGGCGUAAAGGGCGCGUAGGCGGCGCAGUUAGUCAGGCGUGAAAUUCCUGGGCUCAACCUGGGGACUGCGCUUGAUACGGCUGUGCUUGAGGAUGGAAGAGGCUCGCGGAAUUCCCAGUGUAGAGGUGAAAUUCGUAGAUAUUGGGAAGAACACCGGUGGCGAAGGCGGCGAGCUGGUCCAUUACUGACGCUGAGGCGCGACAGCGUGGGGAGCGAACAGG